rnacentral:rRNA from 1 species
GAUGAACGCUGGCGGCGUGCCUAAUACAUGCAAGUCGAGCGAACGGACGAGAAGCUUGCUUCUCUGAUGUUAGCGGCGGACGGGUGAUUAACACGUGGAUAACCUACCUAUAAGACUGGGAUAACUUCGGGAAACCGGAGCUAAUACCGGAUAAUAUUUUGAACCGCAUGGUUCAAAAGUGAAAGACGGUCUUGCUGUCACUUAUAGAUGGAUCCGCGCUGCAUUAGCUAGUUGGUAAGGUAACGGCUUACCAAGGCAACGAUGCAUAGCCGACCUGAGAGGGUGAUCGGCCACACUGGAACUGAGACACGGUCCAGACUCCUGCGGGAGGCAGCAGUAGGGAAUCUUCCGCAAUGGGCGAAAGCCUGACGGAGCAACGCCGCGUGAGUGAUGAAGGUCUUCGGAUCGUAAAACUCUGUUAUUAGGGAAGAACAUAUGUGUAAGUAACUGUGCACAUCUUGACGGUACCUAAUCAGAAAGCCACGGCUAACUACGUG